rnacentral:rRNA from 1 species
UACGAAGGGGGCUAGCGUUGCUCGGAAUUACUGGGCGUAAAGCGCACGUAGGCGGUUUCUUAAGUCGGGGGUGAAAUCCUGGAGCUCAACUCCAGGACUGCCUUCGAUACUGGGAAACUUGAGUCCGGGAGAGGUGAGUGGAACUGCGAGUGUAGAGGUGAAAUUCGUAGAUAUUCGCAAGAACACCAGUGGCGAAGGCGGCUCACUGGCCCGGUACUGACGCUGAGGUGCGAAAGCGUGGGGAGCAAACAGG